rnacentral:lncRNA from 1 species
CAAGACGAAUUCCUCGCAAGACAAAAAACUCGCUAGACGAAAGGGUUUUUUGUUUUUUGAGCUGCUUCGCAAGACGAUUUUCCCUAUGGGCUUGCUUCGCAAGACGGAAACGUCUUGCAAGUUUGUUUCCUUUUUUUUAACACCGUUAAUACAGUUGCGACUUGAUUUCGAGGAGCAACUCAUAGAACGCAGUGUGGUAGCCUUUUUUGAGGUUUUUAAAGACUUUGGUGAUUUUUGAAGCUUUUCCGAAACUUUCCCGACACCGUGCUUCGCAAGACGAAAAAAAUCGCAAGACGACAAAACUCGCAGAACGAAUUAAUUUCAUCUUGCGAGGCACCACUGUACUUGCUUUUUGCAUGGGGUGUGUUUUGAUACAAAUCUUUUCAUGAACCUAUGAAGCUUACCGACAUGUCCAUAGAGGUACAAUUGAAAUAAAUAUUUAGUAACUAUAACUGAUAUUAUGUGUAUUCAAAUCUUUUUUUGAUUACUAUAUGCCCAUGUUUAUGUAAUAUAUUAAAUUUAUGCUGAUUGCAGCUGAUUACAUAAUAUUUUGAUUUCUGUAGGAGGCAUCAUCAGGGUUAGAUUUUAUUUUGUGUUUUUUGAAUUCCUGAGCAAAUGCAGCUGCUGAAAUUUCUCUGUAAAGCAGAAUGUCCUUGAAGAAAAUCCAAAUAGCACUAGAGGCCAGCUUACACUUGUAGCCUUCAAAGAUUUUGCUGACCCAUAGACCGUGGUGUUCUUUGAAAAAGAAAACACACACAGAUGUAGCAAGAUUGCAUCCUAAUGCUAAAUUGCUGUGGUAUGCUUUGUAAAUCAACUAAUGUAUUCUGCUUUGAUUCAUCUGCAUUCCAAUUUAAGUAUACUUGGAAAAGUAUAAUGAUAAAUUCUUUGAUUUAAUUUCAGAUCAGUUUGGAACUCCACAGUCCUAGUGACUGCAAUUGCUUAGGCAAGGAAAAUGAGCUCUGAAGAUGUUUGGAAAAGGGAUGAUUCUGAAGAAGAAGAAGAAGAGUAUGUUUCCAGUGAGUCAGAAGAACAAUCUGAACCAGAAUUGGAACCAGAGGAUCCUGAAGAUCCUAUUUAUGCCACAGCUCCAACAGUUAAUAUUCGGGAUGAAGGUUCCAUUGACGUGCACACAUGUCCUGCCUUUCAGUGCCUUGAUGAGGUAGUGUACUCUUAGUUUCCUUUAUGUCAGCAUGAUAGAUACUAUUUUCAGUUGAAUUGCCUCUGUAGGAAAUUAAAAACAAAGCAACUUUUAAGUACCUAUUGUGAAAAUAGCAUUGAUCCAUCACAACAGCAACUGAAAACAAGAUACAGGAAACCAUCUUGUCAAAAAGCAUGCAAACUGAAAUAAAACAAAUGAAAAACUCUGCACUGUUAUCCAAGCACACCACUUUGCCUUAUUGGGGUAAUGUUCUUGACUUUGGUGGAAUGUUCAUUAUCUCGUUUCCACAAAUAUGUUAAACAGAAUUCCUAAGAGUCCCUUUCAAGGCUUUGCAUAAGAAACAGCAAGGCAUAGAAUAUGUGUCAAAUGUAAACUGUUACUUUGCAGAGCUGACACGAUUGCUCUUUAUAGUGAUCUGUUCCAGGGGUAAUCAGCUUGGUGCCUUUGAAAUACAGUGAUACCUCGGGUUACAUACGCUUCAGGUUACAUACGCUUCAGGUUACACACUCCGCUAACCCAGAAAUAGUGCUUCAGGUUAAGAACGUUGCUUCAGGAUAAGAGCAGAAAUUGUGCUCCGGCGGCGCGGCAGCAGCAGGAGGCCCCAUUAGCUAAAGCGGUGCUUCAGGUUAAGAACAGUUUCAGGUUAAGAACGGACCUCCAGAACGAAUUAAGUACUUAACCCGAGGUACCACUGUAUUUCUGGACUACAGUUCCCAUAAUUCCUGGCCAUUGUCCAUGCUGGCUGGGGCUGAUGGGAGUUGUAGCUCAACAACUUCUGGAGGGUGCCAUGUUGGCUGCCCCUGGGCCACUCAAAGGAGACGCUGUUGACAUAACUUUGGAAAAGAGAUGUGUGGUGGGGUGAAAUGAAGUUUUUGUGCAGCAGAAAGACCAUACUAACAAGUCUUAUUCCCUCACUGUUGUUUUGGCUGCUGCUUUCCUUAAGAUACGGGAUAAAUCUCUUUAAGGAUUGGGCAAUAAUAUACACAAACAUGCCAAUAUCAAGAAUAAUUGUCAAAUAAUUGCCAUUGUUUUGGCAGCUAUCCAGCAGUAUGAAGUACGCAUUAAAAGUUUGCUUGGUGACUUUAAUUUGUAAAAUUAUCUGUUUUGUCAUAAAAAGAGUUUUCCGAAGGGGGAACGAGAACAGACUUAGGAGAGCAUGGCAAGUUCAAACUGCAUUGGGCAAUUAAAAAACAUAUACCCCUGUUUUCUUCAGCACCUUUUCAGAUAUUUCCCCUCUGUUUUUCCUCUGGAUUUGGUCUUUAGUUUUGUCUUACAGGAAACAGUGAAGUAAAAUUAGUAUGUUCUUAAAUUCUUUUUGUUUAUAAAAUUUACAAAGCAUUUUCUGUUCAAACACACCAAGGCCUAGCCAAAGAAGAAAAUAGUUUCCUAACACUCUUGAGAAAGAGUUGAAACAAAACUUUCUCUGGAUUGCACUAAGAAUGGCACAAAACUAAAACACGAGAGAGUAUAAUAUAAAACCCUGUUGGCUUCCAUUGCACAGAAGCCAACUUAAAUCAAAACUAGCAAGGUGCAGACACAAAUGUAAAGCACUCUGUGUUGCAAACUAAACCGUAGUGUUGGAACAAGCGCCCAAAGACCUGGGCUUAUGAUUGGCUCUGUUCCUAAGACACAGUGGGAAAUUUCAGCCAUGCCAACAUUCUCAAAUAUUCAUAUAUCAAGUCAGGUACAUAUGCCACUGGCUUUGUAAUACAGUGGUGUCUCGCAGGACGAAAAGAAUCCGUUCCGCGAUUCUCUUCGUCUUGCGGUUUUUUCGUCUUGCGAAGCAAGCCCAUUAGCGGAUUUGCGCUCUUAGCGGGCUUAGCGGAUCAGCUGAUAAGCGGCUUAGCGGAUCAGCUGAUAAGCGGCUUAGCGAUCAGCUGUUUAGCGGCUUAGCGGAUCAGCUGUUAAGCGGCUUAGCGGAUCAGCUGAUAAGCGGCUUAGCGGCUUGGGAAAAAGGGGGGGGAGGGAAAAAACCCUGCAGGAACUCGCAAGACAUUUUCGUCUUGCGAAGCAAGCCCAUAGGAAAUUCGUUUUGCGAAGCACCUCCAAAACGGAAAACCCUUUCGUCUAGCGGGUUUUCCGUCUUGCGAGGCAUUCGUCUUGCGGGGCACCACUGUAAGAUCAUUCUAUAACACAG